GCCCCUCAACCAUCAGGUUCGGCAGCCGGCGGCGCCGCCUGGCAGCUCCUCCUCUUCUCCGCCCCGCUGGCCGCGGGCGCGGGGGACGUCAGCGCUGCCAGCGUGGAAAGAGCUGCGGGGCGCGGGAGGAGGAAGUAGAGCCCGGGACCGCCGGGCCACCACCGGCCGCCUCAGCCAUGGACGCGUCCCUGGAGAAGAUAGCAGACCCCACGUUAGCUGAAAUGGGAAAAAACUUGAAGGAGGCAGUGAAGAUGCUGGAGGACAGUCAGAGAAGAACAGAAGAGGAAAAUGGAAAGAAGCUCAUAUCCAGAGAUAUUCCAGGCCCACUCCAGGGCAGUGGACAAGAUAUGGUGAGCAUCCUCCAGUUAGUUCAGAAUCUGAUGCAUGGAGAUGAAGAUGAGGAGCCCCAGAGCCCCAGAAUCCAAAAUAUUGGAGAACAAGGUCAUGUGGCUGUGUUGGGACAUAGUCUGGGAGCUUAUAUUUUGACUCUGGACGAAGAGAAGCUGAGAAAACUUACAACUAGGAUACUUUCAGAUACCACCUUAUGGCUAUGCAGAAUUUUCAGAUAUGAAAAUGGGUGUGCUUAUUUCCACGAAGAGGAAAGAGAAGGACUUGCAAAGAUAUGUAGGCUUGCCAUUCAUUCUCAAUAUGAAGACUUCGUAGUGGAUGGCUUCAGUGGGUUAUAUAACAAGAAGCCUGUCAUAUAUCUUAGUGCUGCUGCUAGACCUGGCCUGGGCCAAUACCUUUGUAAUCAGCUCGGCUUGCCCUUCCCCUGCUUGUGCCGUGUACCCUGUAACACUAUGUUUGGAUCCCAGCAUCAGAUGGAUGUUGCCUUCCUGGAGAAACUGAUUAAAGAUGAUAUAGAGCGAGGAAGACUGCCCCUGUUGCUUGUCGCAAAUGCAGGAACGGCAGCAGUAGGACACACAGACAAGAUUGGGAGAUUGAAAGAACUCUGUGAGCAGUAUGGCAUAUGGCUUCAUGUGGAGGGUGUGAAUCUGGCAACAUUGGCUCUGGGUUAUGUCUCCUCAUCAGUGCUGGCUGCAGCCAAAUGUGAUAGCAUGACGAUGACUCCUGGCCCGUGGCUGGGUUUGCCAGCUGUUCCUGCGGUGACACUGUAUAAACACGACCCUGCCUUGACUUUAGUUGCUGGUCUUAUAUCAAAUAAGCCCACAGACAAACUCCGUGCCCUGCCUCUGUGGUUAUCUUUACAAUACUUGGGACUUGAUGGGUUUGUGGAGAGGAUCAAGCAUGCCUGUCAACUGAGUCAAUGGUUGCAGGAAAGUUUGAAGAAAGUGAAUUACAUCAAAAUCUUGGUGGAAGAUGAGCUCAGCUCCCCAGUGGUGGUGUUCAGAUUUUUCCAAGAAUUACCAGGCUCAGAUCCAGUGUUUAAAGCCGUCCCAGUGCCCAACAUGACACCUUCAGCAGUCGGCCGGGAGAGGCACUCGUGUGAUGCGCUGAAUCUCUGGCUGGGAGAACAGCUGAAGCAGCUGGUGCCUGCGAGCGGCCUCACAGUCAUGGAUCUGGAAGCUGAGGGCACGUGUUUGCGGUUCAGCCCUUUGAUGACCGCAGCAGGUAUGAUCUCGUGAAACCUUGAGAGAAACUGAAUGAGGAAUGAAACUAUUGUUCCUGUUUCACACAGAAGAAAACUGAGGUUGGCACUCAUGAUGAGCCCCUGUUCUCAUUCUGCAAAUGGUGAAGCUCUCUAUCGUCCUGACCCCACAGUUCCUGUCCCAUGACCAGGGCCCGCUCACCAAGGAGCUGCAGCAGCACGUAAAGUCAGUGACAUGCCCAUGCGAGUACCUGAGGAAGACGAUCCUACACCUGCCACCUCCGAUGGAUCCACUGCCUCUGUGCCUGCCUGUACUGCCGAUGCUCCAGUGGAUAACUCAGCAUCCCAGCCAAGGCCCAAUGCCACUGAAGAUGGACCUGCCCCCUGGGGACCCAGGAGUCCUACCACUCAGCUGUCCCCAGGAGUGCCCAGACCCUCAUUCUUAUCCAGGACCUAGGAGCCUUACCCCUGGCCUUCCCUCAUCAGCCGUAAAUGAUGAUUUACUGCUGUUACCAUCAUCACUGCCUUCAGUGACCAAGGGCCUUCCAAGGUGCCAGCUCUGGAACGAAGGAUGCCCUUGGGAGGUGAUGACACUCAGGUACACGGGUGCUCAACAGAUUGCUUCCUCCUAUCCUCAGACGGUCUUUGCAUGCAUGCAGCCGUUGGCUCUCCCAUUGUAUGGAAGGAAACCAGCCCAGGGUCACACAGCUGGUCAGCAGCAACGCAGCUGGUCUCAAAUCUAAGGUGCCUGGCCAUGCCUCCAUGAGGGGGACCGCCUGCAAGGGAGGUUGAUCCUGGCUUUGGGGAGCCUUUCCUGGGCUGCACGAAUAACCUCCAUUGUUUGAGGCCCCAAACUCUGCUCACAUCUUCCUUUCUCUGUCUCUGCUUGGGCUAUGAUCGCGGUGACUCUAGCAACCCUUCAUGGACAUUAUGGCACUCUCUGCCAUUCACUUUUGGUCUAAUCUGACUUCAACCCCCACUUAGUUGGUCUCUCCUUUUACAACCAAUACAACCGAAAUCUAGGGCUUCUUUUUUUUUUUUUUUUUGAGACAGAGUCUCAUUCCAUUCUGUCACCCAGGCUGGAGUGCAAUGGUACGAUCUCGGCUCACUGCAACCUCCGCCUCCCGGGUUCAAGGGAUUGUCCUGCCUCAGCCUCCUGAGUAGCUGGGAUUACAGGCGUGUGCCACCAUGCCUGGCUAAUUUUUGUAUUUUUAGUAGAGACGGGGUUUCACCAUGUUGGUCAGGCUGGUCUCGAACCCCUAACCUCGUGAUCCGCCUGCCUCAGCCUCCCAAAGUGCUGGGAUUACAGGCGUGAGCCACCAUGCCCAGCCAAAUCUAGGGCUGGAACAUGGCUGCAGCAUACAAAUAGAAUUGAAUUCCAUAGUUUUGUUCACCCCGUUUUUUGUUUGUUUGUUUGUAGUUGUUGCUGUUUUUGAGACAGAGUCUCACUCUGUCUCCUAGGCUGGAGUGCAGUGGUGCAAUCUCAGCUCACUGCAAACUCUGCCUCCCAGGUUCAAACUAUUCUCCUGCCUCAGCCUCCCAAGUAGGUGGGACUACAGGCGCCCACCACCACACCCACCUAAUUUUUGUAUUUUAUUAGAGACAGGGUUUCACCAUAUUGGCCAGGCUGGUCUGGAACUCCCGACCUUGUGAUCCACCCACCUCGGCCUCCCACAGUGGUGGGAUUACAGGCGUGAGCCACCACACCCAGCCCGUUUUGUUUUUGUUUUGCUUGUUUCUUAGGGUUGUUUUUCUAUUUAUGGUAAAGGCAUUGGCUUUCCAUUUGUAGCAUCAAUAGAAUAUUUCUCAUUUACAAUAACCUUAUGUGAUAGUAAAUGUAAAGGGAUUUAAAGCAGUGGUUUUCAGCCGCCAGAGGCCUGAGUGAGUUUGGGCACACUCUGUGUGAUCGGGCAGAAGGCCUGUGGGAAGUUUAGCUGAGGACAGGGCCAGGAAAGGUGAUGGACAGUGGGGGUCCGUCCUGGUCACCAGGCCCCUGGGUCCUACCCACCUGCUUGGAGCUCCCCACCCAUCACACAUGAUGCUGCCAAGCCCUCUGGGUAUUGUGGGCGAAUACCUUAGGAGAGAAGCUGAUGAACUUUGUUUCUUGAAAUGCACAGAUUCCUUGGACGUCCCUGAGAGGUGACCUUGAGGAACCCUGGGAGCUC
rnacentral:lncRNA from 1 species